CAUGCGCAGCUGAUCCUGCAUGCCGCGUGUGUGAAGAAGGCCUGCGGGUUGUAAAGCACUUUAAGCAGGGAAGAAUGGGCUAAAGCUAAUACCUUUGGUCAGUGACGUUACCUGCAGAAUAAGCACCGGCUAACUCCGUGCCAGCAGCCGCGGUAAUAUGGAGGGUGCGAGCGUUAAUCGGAAUUACUGGGCGUAAAGCGCGCGUAGGCGGUUGGCUAAGUUUGCUGUGAAAGCCCCGGGCUUAACCUGGGAACUGCAGUGAAUACUGGUCGGCUAGAGUAUGGUAGAGGGUAGUGGAAUUUCCGGUGUAGCAGUGAAAUGCGUAGAGAUCGGAAGGAACACCAGUGGCGAAGGCGGCUAUCUGGACCAAUACUGACGCUGAGGUGCGAAAGCGUGGGGAGCAAACAGGAUUAGAUACCCUGGUAGUCCACGCCCUAAACGAUGAGAACUAGCCGUUGGGUCCGGUUACGGAUUUAGUGGCGCAGCUAACGCGUUAAGUUCUCCGCCUGGGGAGUACGGCCGCCAGGGUUAAACUCAAAUGAAUUGACGGGGGCCCGCACAAGCGGUGGAGCA
rnacentral:rRNA from 1 species